AGAGUUUGAUCCUGGCUCAGGAUGAACGCUAGCGACAGGCUUAACACAUGCAAGUCGAGGGGCAGCGGAGGUAAAGGCUUGCCUUUACCUGCCGGCGACCGGCGCACGGGUGAGUAACACGUAUGCAACCUGGCCGUCACAGGAGGAUAACCGGGAGAAAUUCCGCCUAAUACUCCAUAACACUUUCCGAGGACAUCCUGGGAAAGUCAAAGGAAUUCGUUCCGGUGACGGAUGGGCAUGCGGCGCAUUAGCUAGUCGGCGGGGUAACGGCCCACCGAGGCGACGAUGCGUAGGGGUUCUGAGAGGAAGGUCCCCCACAUUGGAACUGAGACACGGUCCAAACUCCUACGGGAGGCAGCAGUGAGGAAUAUUGGUCAAUGGGCGGAAGCCUGAACCAGCCAAGUCGCGUGAGGGAAUAAGGCCCUAAGGGUCGUAAACCUCUUUUGCCGGGGAGCAACGGUUCGCUUGCGAGCGGACAGGGAGAGUACCCGGAGAAAAAGCAUCGGCUAACUCCGUGCCAGCAGCCGCGGUAAUACGGAGGAUGCGAGCGUUAUCCGGAUUUAUUGGGUUUAAAGGGUGCGUAGGCGGACCAUCAAGUCAGCGGUCAAAAGUCGGGGCUCAACCCCGUAAAGCCGUUGAAACUGGCGGUCUGGAGUGAGCGAGAAGCAGGCGGAAUGCGUGGUGUAGCGGUGAAAUGCAUAGAUAUCACGCAGAACCCCGAUUGCGAAGGCAGCCUGCCGGCGCUCAACUGACGCUGAGGCACGAAAGUGCGGGGAUCGAACAGGAUUAGAUACCCUGGUAGUCCGCACAGUAAACGAUGAAUGCUAGCUGUCCGGGUCGAAUGAGACCUGGGUGGCACAGCGAAAGCGUUAAGCAUUCCACCUGGGGAGUACGCCGGCAACGGUGAAACUCAAAGGAAUUGACGGGGGCCCGCACAAGCGGAGGAACAUGUGGUUUAAUUCGAUGAUACGCGAGGAACCUUACCCAGACUCAAAUGCAGAUGGAGCUCGGCAGAGAUGCCGGGGCCCUUCGGGGCCGUCUGCAAGGUGCUGCAUGGUUGUCGUCAGCUCGUGCCGUGAGGUGUCAGGUUAAGUCCUAUAACGAGCGCAACCCUUACUGUUAGUUGCUACGCAAGAGCACUCUAGCAGGACUGCCGUUGACAAAACGGAGGAAGGUGGGGAUGACGUCAAAUCAUCAUGCCCCUUAUGACCUGGGCCUCACACGUACUACAAUGGCUAUUAACAGAGGGAAGCAAAGCGGUGACGCAGAGCAAAUCCCUAAAAAUAGUCUUAGUUCGGAUUGUAGGCUGCAACUCGCCUACAUGAAGUCGGAAUUGCUAGUAAUCGCAGAUCAGCAUGCUGCGGUGAAUACGUUCCCGGGCCUUGCACACACCGCCCGUCAAG
rnacentral:rRNA from 1 species